GAUGAACGCUGGCGGCGUGCCUAAUACAUGCAAGUCGAACGAGGUCUUCGGACCUAGUGGCGAACGGGUGAGUAACACGUUGGUACCUACCCCGAAGUGGGGAAUAACUGCCCGAAAGGGUGGCUAAUACCGCAUAAUACCGCAAGGUUAAAGCAGUAAUGCGCUUCGGGAGGGGCCUGCGUCCCAUUAGCUAGUUGGUAGGGUAAUGGCCUACCAAGGCGACGAUGGGUAGCUGGAUCGAGAGGUUGACCAGCCACACUGGGACUGAGAUACGGCCCAGACUCCUACGGGAGGCAGCAGUAAGGAAUCUUCCACAAUGGACGAAAGUCUGAUGGAGCAACGCCGCGUGCAGGAUGACGGCCUUCGGGUUGUAAACUGCUUUUAUACGGGAAGAUUAUGACGGUAACUCAUGAAUAAGGGUCGGCUAACUACGUGCCAGCAGCCGCCGUAA
rnacentral:rRNA from 1 species